rnacentral:rRNA from 1 species
GGAUUAGAUACCCUGGUAGUCCACGCCGUAAACGAUGUCUACUAGUUGUCGGUUGUCUUGUACGACGGGUGACGCAGCUAACGCAUUAAGCAUACCGCCUGGGGAGUACGGUCGCAAGAUUAAAACUCAAAGGAAUUGACGGGGGCCCGCACAAGCGGUGGAGCAUGUGGUUUAAUUCGACGCAACGCGCAGAACCUUACCAGCCCUUGACAUCCCGAUCGCGAAUAGUGGAGACACUUUUCUUCAGUUAGGCUGGAUCGGUGACAGGUGCUGCAUGGCUGUCGUCAGCUCGUGCUG